rnacentral:rRNA from 1 species
AAUAAAUUUACUUAAUUUAAAAUUUUGUAUAUCGUUGUUAGAAAAAUAUUUUCUAAUAAAAUUAAUAUUUUAUAAUUAUUAUUUUAAUUUAAAUCAGAUCAAGAUGCAGAUUAUAAUUAAGAAUAUAAUGGAUUACAAUAAAUUUAUUUAAAUGAAUAUUAAUUUGUAAUAAUUAAUUGAAAGUGGAUUUAAAUGUAAUUUUAUUUAUUUUAAUAAAAUGAUUAAAAAUUAAAAUAUGU